GUUUGUCGGAUGUUUACAGGCAAAAACAGAGCCAGGUUGCAAAAAUCCAUAAACAGUGUCCAUAAACAGCCACGUAACUCAAGUCAGUGGACAUACUGAUGUCUGAUGGCAAAAAGCUGAUCAAAGAUAGCAAUAUGUGAUGGUUGCUGGCUGCCUCUCAUAUGUUAAUAGUGUUUAUGACAACCCCACAAAAUAUUAAUUUAUUUACAGAUUGUCUUUUCAUCUCGCCCCAAAAGUAAAAGGUUUCAAAGCAUCCUGCAAGACACAUUAUGAAACCCUGAGGGGGAAAUAUUACAUUUAGCAGCCUGACAAAGCAGAGCUGAAGGAGUCAGUUAAAGUUUUGGCCGAAGUCAAACAGAAACAAAAAGACUGCUGGAGUCCAGAUGUAAAGUCCUCCAGACAGAUGUAGAAAAAAACAUCUCUGGAACUCAGCAACUCUUGAUUUAAUGUCUGAUGAAGAAGACGGCAUAACUGAUGAGAGGCCGGUGUGGGUUGUUGUACUGCCUCCGCACAAAACCCCAAGACUCUCAGCUCUGUUCCAGGAGCUUCAGAAAAACUGGAAGCAGUCUAUACUCAUUUCCGUGUGAUGGCACAGGGUGAUAUGGGAGUCGGACGAGAGUUUAUUUAUUUAACUCUAAUUUCAUGUACCUAUAAUGUUCUAAGUUGUAAUGUUUACAUUUUUUUUCUUUUUUUAGUAUUAUUACAAUUUUGUGAAUAUAUAUAUAUUAUAUAAAUAUUGUUUUUUAUUCGGUAUUGUAUUGUUAAUUUUUAUAUUUUGAUAUUGUUAUUUAUACCUGUAAGGUAGAUCACAGCAGGCCCACAUUUCUGGGGUGUGGGUGGGCUGAACUAUAAGCCCAACCAAUGAAAUAAAAGCAAAAGCAAAUGCAUAUGCCGGUCCAAUAGCUGUUAAGAUUUUGGGAUGAGCUAAAAGAUGUGGAACUGGGCAAAAGUUUGGGUUGAGCCUGGCAUGAAAGAGCUACAGGGGAGAAAUGCUAUUUGCUCUUGGGUGUGAAAAAAUUACCCUUAGAAGAUUAUCUAUCAUGGCAACUAAUGGUUAUAGCGAGGACGUUUAUGUCAGUGACAUACAUCCAAAAUGUGGAUUUUGACAUUUCCGACAUUUCCAUUUCCAAAAAUCUUUACAGGACUUUACUGGUCCGUAUACAGCUCUGUUCAUGCAGUGUAAAACACAGUAAGGGUGUGAUAUGUUGCACUGAUCAUAAUAUCUGAUUCAAAAUAGUAUAAUCUUUUGCAUGCGAUCCAGUGAAGAUCUGGAACUACUUUGUAGAUAGCUGCACCUUAGGCCUCGUCACAUCAUCCUACAUCAGUACCCGACUUUACUAACGCACUUGUGAAUGAAUGAAUCUCACACAAAUUUAAAAUGUAUAAUCCAAAAUCAAGUGGAAAAUCUUUCCAGAAUAUAGGAGCAAAUGGGGAUUAGAUGUGGAAUAAAAUGUUAUAAAAAAGACUUGUUGCUGUGUCUGGAUUUAUUUUGGGAUUUAUGGAAAAUGCUCCUGAUGGAAAAAAUAAAUGGG